AAGUCGUAACAAGGUUUCCGUAGGUGAACCUGCGGAAGGAUCAUUACAAAUCCAUCCACGUCUCCUCUACCCAGAGUGCAGACCAUGUUGAACUGUUGUGCAGGGUAGGUGGCCUAAAAGCCACCUACUCUAUCUCACACGAGUCUUUACCGUUGCCCAAAUGUAUCUACACUUCAUCACGAAGCAAAAAAGUACAACUUAUAACAAUGGAUCUCUAGGCUCUU
rnacentral:misc_RNA from 1 species